rnacentral:rRNA from 1 species
ACGGGAGGCAGCAGUGGGGAAUAUUGCACAAUGGGCGCAAGACUGAUGCAGCGAUGCCGCGUGAGGGAAGAAGGUUUUCGGAUUGUAAACCUCUGUCAUCGGGGACGAUAAUGACUGUACCCGAGAAGGAAGCUCCGGCUAACUACGUGCCAGCAGCCGCGGUAAUACGUAGGGAGCGAGCGUUAUCCGGAAUUACUGGGUGUAAAGGGAGUGUAGGCGGGACUGUAAGUCAGGUGUGAAAUAUACCGGCUCAACUGGUAGACUGCAUUUGAAACUGCGGUUCUUGAGUGAAGUAGAGGUAAGCGUAAUUCCUAGUGUAGCGGUGAAAUGCGUAGAUAUUAGGAGGAACAUCAGUGGCGAAGGCGGCUUACUGGGCUUUAACUAACGCUGAGGCUCGAAAGCGUGUGGAGCAAACAGGAUUAGAUACCCUGGUA